GCCGGGCAUGGUUGCGCGUGCCUGUAGUCCCAGCUACUUUGGAGGCUGAGAGAGGAGAAUCACUUGAACCCAGGAGGCGGAGGUUGCAGUGAGCCGAGAUGGCACCACUGCACUCCAGCCUGGGCAAUAGAGUGAGACUCUGUCUCAA
rnacentral:SRP_RNA from 1 species